CCAAAGGCUCUUUUAAGAGCCACCACCCGGUCGCUGGAGAGAGCUGU
rfam:Nipponia nippon contig71713, whole genome shotgun sequence.